rnacentral:rRNA from 1 species
AUACGUAGGUGACAAGCGUUAUCCGGAUUUACUGGGCGUAAAGGGCGUGUAGGCGGUCUUGCAAGUCAGAAGUGAAAUUCCUGAGCUCAACUCGGGCGCUGCUUCUGAAACUGCAGGACUUGAGUGCUGGAGGGGAUAGCGGAAUUCCUAGUGGAGCGGUAAAAUGCGCAGAUAUUAGGAAGAACACCGGUGGCGAAGGCGGCUAUCUGGACAGUAACUGACGCUGAGGCGCGAAAGCGUGGGGAGCAAACAGGAUUAGAUACCCUGGUAGUCCACGCUGUAAACGAUGAAUACUAGGUGUGGGGGGACUGACCCCCUCCGUGCCGCAGUUAACACAAUAAGUAUUCCACCUGGGGAGUUCGAUCGCAAGAUUGAAACUCAAAUGAAUUGACGGGG